GCCCAGCUGGCUCAGUAGGUAGAACAUGGGACUCUUGAUCUCAGAGUUGUGAGUUCAAGCCCCACAUUGGGUG
rnacentral:tRNA from 1 species